rnacentral:tRNA from 1 species
CGUGGCGUAGAGCAGCUUGCCCGCAUGGUCGCCGGUGAAGGGGCGGCCGGUGCGGUUGGCGCCGCGCUGGCCCGGUGCCAUGCCGAGCACCAGGA